UGGGGAAUAUUGGACAAUGGGGGAAACCCUGAUCCAGCGACGCCGCGUGAGUGAAGAAGUAUUUCGGUAUGUAAAGCUCUAUCAGCAGGGAAGAAAAUGACGGUACCUGACUAAGAAGCCCCGGCUAACUACGUGCCAGCAGCCGCGGUAAUACGUAGGGGGCAAGUGUUAUCCGGAUUUACUGGGUGUAAAGGGAGCGCAGACGGCGAAGCAAGUCUGAAGUGAAAUGCAUGGGCUCAACCCAUGAAUUGCUUUGGAAACUGUUUGGCUUGAGUGUCGGAGGGGUAAGCGGAAUUCCUAGUGUAGCGGUGAAAUGCGUAGAUAUUAGGAGGAACACCGGAGGCGAAGGCGGCUUACUGGACGACAACUGACGUUGAGGCUCGAAGGCGUGGGGAGCAAACAGGAUUAGAUACCCUGGUAGUCCACGCAGUAAACGAUGAAUACUUGGUGUCGGGGAGGUAAACUCUUCGGUGCCGCAAGCAAACGCAUUAAGUAUUCCACCUGGGGAGUACGUUCGCAAGAAUG
rnacentral:rRNA from 1 species